AUUGAACGCUAGCGGGAUGCUUUACACAUGCAAGUCGAACGGCAGCGCGGACUUCGGUCUGGCGGCGAGUGGCGAACGGGUGAGUAAUGUAUCGGAACGUGCCCAGUAGCGGGGGAUAACUACGCGAAAGCGUAGCUAAUACCGCAUACGCCCUACGGGGGAAAGCAGGGGAUCGUAAGACCUUGCACUAUUGGAGCGGCCGAUAUCGGAUUAGCUAGUUGGUGAGGUAACGGCUCACCAAGGCGACGAUCCGUAGCUGGUUUGAGAGGACGACCAGCCACACUGGGACUGAGACACAGCCCAGACUCCUACGGGAGGCAGCAGUGGGGAAUUUUGGACAAUGGGGGCAACCCUGAUCCAGCCAUCCCGCGUGUGCGAUGAAGGCCUUCGGGUUGUAAAGCACUUUUGGCAGGAAAGAAACGUCGCGGGCUAAUACCCCGUGGAACUGACGGUACCUGCAGAAUAAGCACCGGCUAACUACGUG
rnacentral:rRNA from 1 species